UACGUAGGGUGCAAGCGUUAAUCGGAAUUACUGGGCGUAAAGCGUGCGCAGGCGGUUGUGUAAGUCAGAUGUGAAAUCCCCGGGCUCAACCUGGGAAUUGCAUUUGAGACUGCACGGCUAGAGUGUGUCAGAGGGGGGUAGAAUUCCACGUGUAGCAGUGAAAUGCGUAGAGAUGUGGAGGAAUACCGAUGGCGAAGGCGGCCAUCUGGGACAACACUGACGCUGAAGCACGAAAGCGUGGGGAGCAAACAGG
rnacentral:rRNA from 1 species